rnacentral:rRNA from 1 species
AACGAACGUUCGCGGCGCGCCUAACACAUGCAAGUCGAGCGAGAAAGGGCUUCGGCCCCGGUACAGCGGCGCACGGGUGAGUAACACGUAGGCAAUCUGCCCCUGAGUGGGGGAUAACCUUCCGAAAGGAGGGCUAAUACCGCAUGAGACCACGACCCCGCGAGGGGAUGAGGUCAAAGCCGGCCACUUCACGAAAGCUGGCGCUUGGGGAUGAGCCUGCGGCCCAUCAGCUAGUUGGUAGGGUCAUGGCCUACCAAGGCGACGACGGGUAGAUGGUCUGAGAGGAUGAUCAGCCACACUGGAACUGAGACACGGGCCAGACUCCUACGGGAGGCAGCAGUGGGGAAUCUUGCGCAAUGGGCGAAAGCCUGACGCAGCGACGCCGCGUGAGUGAUGAAGGCCUUCGGGUUGUAAAGCUCUGUGGAGGGAGACGAAUAAGGCAUGGCUAACAUCCAUGUUGAUGACGGUAUCCCUUUAGCAAGCACCGGCUAACUCUGUGCCAGCCGCCGCGGUAAGAC